CUCAUAGUGCUGAAGUAGGCUGAAUUUGUAGAGCUCAUUUCUCCUGAGUUUAACCAGAGAAAAAUUUGGACAAACACUGGGUUUGUCUUUCUGUUCAAUUUCACCGCUUGAGUAAUCUGAGGGUCUGUGAGGGUGCCGCCUUAACCCCCAACUGUACCACGGUGCUCCAACUUUGUACAAAGACUAUUUGCCAGUCAGCUUUAGAGUUGGCCGCUGCUGAAGCAUCCAUCCAGCUGAGAUGUCGGUGGUCAUGUAUGGAUGUGAGAGUUGGACUGUGAAGAAGGCAGAGCACCAAAGAAUUGAUGCUUUUGAACUGUGGUGUUGGAGAAGACUCUUGAGAGUCACUUGGACUGCAAGGAGAUCCAACCAGUCCAUUCUGAAGGAGGUCAGCCCUGGGAUUUCUUUGGAGGGAAUGAUGCUGAAGCUGAAACUCCAAUACUUUGGCC
ensembl:lncRNA